GACGAACGCGGCGGCGUGCCUAAUACAUGCAAGUAGAACGCUGAAGGAGGAGCUUGCUUCUCUGGAUGAGUUGCGAACGGGUGAGUAACGCGUAGGUAACCUGCCUGGUAGCGGGGGAUAACUAUUGGAAACGAUAGCUAAUACCGCAUAAGAGUAGAUGUCGCAUGACAUUUGCUUAAAAGGUGCAAUUGCAUCACUACCAGAUGGACCUGCGUUGUAUUAGCUAGUUGGUGAGGUAACGGCUCACCAAGGCAACGAUACAUAGCCGACCUGAGAGGGUGAUCGGCCACACUGGGACUGAGACACGGCCCAGACUCCUACGGGAGGCAGCAGUAGGGAAUCUUCGGCAAUGGACGGAAGUCUGACCGAGCAACGCCGCGUGAGUGAAGAAGGUUUUCGGAUCGUAAAGCUCUGUUGUAAGAGAAGAACGAGUGUGAGAGUGGAAAGUCACACUGUGACGUAUCUACCAGAA
rnacentral:rRNA from 1 species